rnacentral:rRNA from 1 species
GGCGGCGCGCUUAACACAUGCAAGUCGAGCGAGAACCAGAGCCUUCGGGCCCUGGGGACAGCGGCGAACGGGUGAGUAACACGUGAGUAAUCCACCCUUGGUACCGGGAUAGCCCGGGGAAACUCGGAUUAAUACCGGAUGGCCCAUCAGCUUCUUGGAGCGGAUGGAAAAGGUAGCUUCGGCCUCCGACCAAGGACGAGCUCGCGGCGGAUUAGCUUGUUGGCGGGGUAACGGCCCACCAAGGCGACGAUCCGUAGCUGGUCUGAGAGGACGAUCAGCCACACUGGGACUGAGACACGGCCCAGACUCCUACGGGAGGCAGCAGUGGGGAAUCUUGCGCAAUGGGCGAAAGCCUGACGCAGCGACGCCGCGUGAGGGAAGAAGGCCUUCGGGUUGUAAACCUCUUUCAGAAGGGACGAAGCCACUCGGGUUAAUAGCCCAGANGGUGACGGUACCUUCAGAAGAAGCCCCGGCUAACUACGUGCCAGCAGCCGCGGUAAUACNUAGGGGGCAAGCGUUGUCCGGAUUUAUUGGGCGUAAA